rnacentral:rRNA from 1 species
UACGAAGGGGGCUAGCGUUGCUCGGAAUUACUGGCGUAAAGCGCACGUAGGCGGAUUGUUAAGUCGGGGGUGAAAUCCUGGAGCUCAACUCCAGAACUGCCUUUGAUACUGAGGAUCUUGAGUUCGAGAGAGGUGAGUGGAACUGCGAGUGUAGAGGUGAAAUUCGUAGAUAUUCGCAAGAACACCAGUGGCGAAGGCGGCUUACUGGUCCGGUUCUGACGCUGAGGCGCGAAAGCGUGGGGAGCGAACAGG